rnacentral:rRNA from 1 species
GAUGAACGCUGGCGGCGUGCCUAAUACAUGCAAGUCGAGCGAACGGACGAGAAGCUUGCUUUUCUGAUGUUAGCGGCGGACGGGUGAGUAACACGUGGAUAACCUACCUAUAAGACUGGGAUAACUUCGGGAAACCGGAGCUAAUACCGGAUAAUAUUUUGAACCGCAUGGUUCAAAAGUGAAAGACGGUCUUGCUGUCACUUAUAGAUGGAUCCGCGCUGCAUUAGCUAGUUGGUAAGGUAACGGCUUACCAAGGCAACGAUGCAUAGCCGACCUGAGAGGGUGAUCGGCCACACUGGAACUGAGACACGGUCCAGACUCCUACGGGAGGCAGCAGUAGGGAAUCUUCCGCAAUGGGCGAAAGCCUGACGGAGCAACGCCGCGUGAGUGAUGAAGGUCUUCGGAUCGUAAAACUCUGUUAUUAGGGAAGAACAUAUGCGUAAGUAACGGUGCACAUCUUGACGGGACCUAAUCAGAAAGCCACGGCUAACUACGU